AGUGCUCGGGACGAUUAUUGGGCCUAAAGCAUCCGUAGCCGGUUCUACAAGUCUUCCGUUAAAUCCACCUGCUUAACAGAUGGGCUGCGGAGGAUACUAUAGAGCUAGGAGGCGGGAGAGGCAAGCGGUACUUAGUGGGUAGGGGUAAAAUCCGUUGAUCCAUUGAAGACCACCAGUGGCGAAGGCGGCUUGCCAGAACGCACUCGACGGUGAGGGAUGAAAGCUGGGGGAGCAAACCGG
rnacentral:rRNA from 1 species